GACGUAGGGCGCGAGCGUUGUCCGGAUUUAUUGGGCGUAAAGAGCUCGUAGGCGGUCUGUUGCGUCGGCUGUGAAAACCCAGGGCUCAACUCCGGGCCUGCAGCCGAUACGGGCAGACUAGAGUUCGGCAGGGGAGACUGGAAUUCCUGGUGUAGCGGUGAAAUGCGCAGAUAUCAGGAGGAACACCGGUGGCGAAGGCGGGUCUCUGGGACGGUACUGACGCUGAGACGCGAAAGCGUGGGGAGCGAACAGG
rnacentral:rRNA from 1 species